rnacentral:misc_RNA from 1 species
GAUGAAGAACGCAGCGAAAUGCGAUAAUUAAUGUGAAUUGCAGAAUUCCGUGAAUCAUCGAAUCUUUGAACGCACAUUGCGCCCCUUGGUAUCCCGAGGGGCAUGCCUGUUCGAGCGUCAUUUCACCACUCAAGCCUGGCUUGGUGUUGGGCGACGUCCUCUUUGGGGACGCGCCUCGAAACGCUCGGCGGCGUGGCACCGGCUUUAAGCGUAGCAGAAUCUUUCGCUUUGGAAGUCGGGGCCCCGUCUGCCGGAAGACCUGCUCGCAAGGUUGACCUCGGAUCAGGCAGGGAUACCCGCUGAACUUAAGCAUAUCAAUAGCGGAGGA